GACGAACGCUGGCGGCGUGCUUAACACAUGCAAGUCGAACGGUGAUGACAGGGCUUGCCUUGUCUGAUCAGUGGCGAACGGGUGAGUAACACGUGAGCAACCUGCCCCAGACUCUGGGAUAACCCCGGGAAACCGGAGCUAAUACCGGAUAUGACACGGAGAGGCAUCUCUACCGUGUGGAAAGUUUUUCGGUCUGGGAUGGGCUCGCGGCCUAUCAGCUUGUUGGUGAGGUAGUGGCUCACCAAGGCGACGACGGGUAGCCGGCCUGAGAGGGCGACCGGCCACACUGGGACUGAGACACGGCCCAGACUCCUACGGGAGGCAGCAGUGGGGAAUAUUGCACAAUGGGCGAAAGCCUGAUGCAGCGACGCCGCGUGAGGGAUGACGGCCUUCGGGUUGUAAACCUCUUUCAGCAGGGAAGAAGCGCAAGUGACGGUACCUGCAGAAGAAGCACCGGCUAACUACGUGCCAGCCGCCGCAGUAAUAC
rnacentral:rRNA from 1 species